rnacentral:rRNA from 1 species
AUGCAACAUGGUAGUUAUUUCUGCAAUGCAGCCGUUGUUUCAGGAAUUGUUGUUGCAACCCGGCCGUUGUUUCAGGAAUUGUUCCUCCAAUCUCCAAAUUUUUGCGACAUGGUAGUUGUUUCUGCAACAACCCAGCCGUUGUUUCAGGAAUUGUUCUUGCAAUCUCCAAAUUUUUACAACAUAGUAGUUAUUUCUGCAACACAGUCAUUGUUUCGGGAAUUGUUUUCUGCAACGCGAUCAUUGUUUCAGGAAUUGUUUCUGCAACACAACUGUUGUUUCUGCAACUGGUUUGUUGUUUCGGGAAUUAAUGUGUCGGGGAAGGCGACGCGCGUGCGCGAGGAGUUAGAUCGGACGACUCGCGCACGAAGAUCUGACGGCUGUCAAGGUGGUGGAUGUUUACUAAACAUCCACCGGCAGACGCGUAGCAGCUCCCUCAAAGAACUAGACAGAAUUCCCUUAAAAAAAAUAGGAUAUCUUCCUCUCUUCGACGUGGAACUCACGUGA